AUUGAACGCUGGCGGCAGGCCUAACACAUGCAAGUCGAGCGGAUGAAGUGAGCUUGCUCCUGGAUUCAGCGGCGGACGGGUGAGUAAUGCCUAGGAAUCUGCCUGGUAGUGGGGGAUAACGUCCGGAAACGGGCGCUAAUACCGCAUACGUCCUGAGGGAGAAAGUGGGGGAUCUUCGGACCUCACGCUAUCAGAUGAGCCUAGGUCGGAUUAGCUAGUUGGUGGGGUAAAGGCCUACCAAGGCGACGAUCCGUAACUGGUCUGGGAGGAUGAUCAGUCACACUGGAACUGAGACACGGGCCAGACUCCUACGGGAGGCAGCAGUGGGGAAUAUUGGACAAUGGGCGAAAGACUGAUCCAGACAUGCCGCGUGUGUGAAGAAGGUCUUCGGAUUGUAAAGAACUUUAAGUUGGGAGGAAGGGCAGUAAGUUAAUACCUUGCUGUUUUGACGUUACCAACAGAAUAAGCACCGGCUAACUUCGUG
rnacentral:rRNA from 1 species